rnacentral:lncRNA from 1 species
AAAUUAUUAACCAAAAAAGGGGAAAAAGAAAGUGGUUGCAUGCCUUAGACAAUGAGAUUGUCGGAAAGGAUACACCUAAAAAGAAUCCAAAAACAAUUCCUACAAAGGUUGUGACAAGCAGCCUCAUUGUUUCAUUUGGUCUUCUUACGUGCAAGCUGCAGCCAGGUUAAUGGGUAAAAACAUAUCAGAAUUAGUGUUGCUAUGCUGAGACAGGUAAAAACAAUCCUCAAUAUGUCAUUGAUUUCAGUUGUAGCUAUGCUCAGACAGGAACUCAGGAAGAACACUCUAAUCACCAGAAUUAAUCCUUAUGAUUUCUUUAAACCAUGCAACAUAAUUCAUCAAACAGGAACAUUAAAGAAAAACCCUGUCCAUUAGGGAAGAAAAAAUACAAGUCACUGAACCUGUUACGCCUAGGAGUCCCCAUAUAUGCCAUCAUUCUGUAAAAGCAAAAUUGCGGAAAUGCCAAAACAGUGAAACUUCAACUGCGCAUGACAAUCAGCUUCCAAGCCUCCGCUCCUCCAGAAAAGAAAUUCGUAUCCUCAUGGCAUCAUCUGAAUCAACCCUGAAACUUAAAUAUUGCUAUGUUAAAAAAAAAAAAAGACCUUUUCUUUUUUCCAACUCUUUAUGUUUUUGACUAAAUAUAUCAGUGAAUAAUUAAUUCCCCUCACCAAAAUGGAAUCUCCUUUCCUCAACCCUUAUACAUUUUUUUUUCACUAAAAACACAUAGGAAACCAAAUAAACUGGACAUAAUCCUCUACUCAAAAGGAGUCGUUUUAAUAAUCACAGUAAAAAUGGUAUCUUUUUAAUAAUCGCAGUCAAAAUUCACUAAUUGAUCAACUCUGCAAAUCGGAACAGCCAACGAGAGAGUAAAAAUCAUGGUGCCAUUUUCUAAAUUUCCGGAUCUUAAUAUGGUAUAAUACUAACUUACCGAUUGUCAAAUCCAAAAUGUAUAUUAUUUAGCAUCAGCAGGGUGCUAAUCAUAAAUGCAUAAACAGUCAAAAGCAUAAGCUUUUCUUGCUUACAAGGUUGCCAGCUGUCAGCAAAAUUCAAAAAGUCUCGGCCGGAACGGAAGAAUCACACCGUGGAAUUGCAAACUUCUUCUCCAGUCUGGUAAACUACCUGAGGGACCUGAAUCUCCUCGAAAAAUCUGGAUCCUCAGUUCACCGAUAAAAAGAAAACGAAGGGCCGAGCUGGCCCAACUUAAUCUCAGAAUCUGAUGUCCACCUGGGGCAACGAACAAUCCUUGAAUAGAAGUAAAGAACGGGAAGAGAACAAUUUUAUUUUAGUGAUGGAUGGAAUUAUCAAAGAAAAAGAAAAAUUUUUGUCUCACAACGGCAAAUGGACUUCAAUUUUUUCUUUUCUCUCUCUUUUUUUAAAUUUAUUUUCCUUUCUUCCUCUUUAAUCAGGCGUUUAAGAUUACAAUCGCACGGUGUUUAAUAAUGACGCCCUGAUAAUACCACCGAAUUGAGGUCAAGUCUUCUGUCGGGGCAAUGCUUGCAUGUAUUACAGCACUUAUUUAACCCACUUUUUGAUGGAAAAUUUUGUGGUGGGAUCCAUUGAAUGGCAAAUCAAGACUUGGGAUUUUGGUGUUUGUAGGGCUCCGAUGUUUCGGUGUGGGACUGGGGAAAGAUUAGCUAACUUUAGAAUUUGAUGAUUCCCCGUAUCCAUGGG